rnacentral:rRNA from 1 species
CGAGGUGGUGCAUGGUUGUUCGUCUAGCUCGUGUCGUGAGAUGUUGGGUUAAGUCCGCAACGAGCGCAACCCUCGACCUUAGUUGCCAGCAUUCAGUUGGGCACUCUAAGGUGACUGCCGGCUAAAAGUCGGAGGAAGGUGGGGAUGACGUCAAAUCAUCAUGCCCCUUAUGACCUGGGCUACACACGUGCUACAAUGGGCGGUACAAAGGGUCGCGAACCCGCGAGGGGGAGCCAAUCCCGAAAAGCCGCUCUCAGUUCGGAUUGCAGGCUGCAACCCGCCUGCAUGAAGCCGGAAUCGCUAGUAAUCGCAGGUCAGCAUACUGCGGUGAAUACGUUCCCGGGCCUU